rnacentral:rRNA from 1 species
AACGAACGCUGGCGGCAGGCCUAAAACAUGCAAGUCGAACGCUCUAGCAAUAGAGAGUGGCGCACGGGUGAGUAACACGUGGGAAUGUGCCUUUUGGUACGGAACAACUUUUGGAAACGAAAGCUAAUACCGUAUGGUCCCUUCGGGGUAAAGAUUUAUCGCCAAAAGAGCAGCCCGCGUCUGAUUAGCUAGUUGGUGAGGUAAUGGCUCACCAAGGCGACGAUCAGUAGCNGGUCUGAGAGGACGAUCAGCCACACUGGGACUGAGACACGGCCCAGACUCCUACGGGAGGCAGCAGUGGGGAAUAUUGGACAAUGGGCGCAAGCCUGAUCCAGCGAUGCCGCGUGUGUGAAGAAGGCCUGCGGGUUGUAAAGCACUUUCAGUAGGGAAG